rnacentral:lncRNA from 10 species
ACUUGUGAUGCAGGUCAGGGUACAGUAUCUGACUGCAAUCAAUAUGCACUUAAAUGUUUGGAUCAUCUAAACCUCCACUUAGCACAAAGGAUCUCCAGAGAGAACUUUCUUCAGAGCAGAGAAAUUACUAUUCCAGAGCUGCACCCAAGACACAGAAAGGCCAAGUAAUUUGUCCAAGUUCAUACGCUAGAUUGGAAGAAGGAGCCCAGCCUCGAGUCAGGCCAGAUGCACUCGGUGUGCGGGACAGAGGACCCUCUAAGGGAGAUUCUCCAGUCGUCGGUCUGAUACAGCGAUUGCUAUAAACACU